rnacentral:sRNA from 1 species
AAAAAAAAACCAAAAUAUU